UUAAAUUGAAGAGUUUGAUCAUGGCUCAGAUUGAACGCUGGCGGCAGGCCUAACACAUGCAAGUCGAACGGUAACAGGAAGCAGCUUGCUGCUUUGCUGACGAGUGGCGGACGGGUGAGUAAUGUCUGGGAAACUGCCUGAUGGAGGGGGAUAACUACUGGAAACGGUGGCUAAUACCGCAUAACGUCGCAAGACCAAAGAGGGGGACCUUCGGGCCUCUUGCCAUCAGAUGUGCCCAGAUGGGAUUAGCUAGUUGGUGAGGUAACGGCUCACCAAGGCGACGAUCCCUAGCUGGUCUGAGAGGAUGACCAGCCACACUGGAACUGAGACACGGUCCAGACUCCUACGGGAGGCAGCAGUGGGGAAUAUUGCACAAUGGGCGCAAGCCUGAUGCAGCCAUGCCGCGUGUAUGAAGAAGGCCUUCGGGUUGUAAAGUACUUUCAGCGGGGAGGAAGGUGUUGUGGUUAAUAACCACAGCAAUUGACGUUACCCGCAGAAGAAGCACCGGCUAACUCCGUGCCAGCAGCCGCGGUAAUACGGAGGGUGCAAGCGUUAAUCGGAAUUACUGGGCGUAAAGCGCACGCAGGCGGUCUGUCAAGUCGGAUGUGAAAUCCCCGGGCUCAACCUGGGAACUGCAUUCGAAACUGGCAGGCUUGAGUCUUGUAGAGGGGGGUAGAAUUCCAGGUGUAGCGGUGAAAUGCGUAGAGAUCUGGAGGAAUACCGGUGGCGAAGGCGGCCCCCUGGACAAAGACUGACGCUCAGGUGCGAAAGCGUGGGGAGCAAACAGGAUUAGAUACCCUGGUAGUCCACGCCGUAAACGAUGUCUACUUGGAGGUUGUGCCCUUGAGGCGUGGCUUCCGGAGCUAACGCGUUAAGUAGACCGCCUGGGGAGUACGGCCGCAAGGUUAAAACUCAAAUGAAUUGACGGGGGCCCGCACAAGCGGUGGAGCAUGUGGUUUAAUUCGAUGCAACGCGAAGAACCUUACCUGGUCUUGACAUCCACAGAACUUUCCAGAGAUGGAUUGGUGCCUUCGGGAACUGUGAGACAGGUGCUGCAUGGCUGUCGUCAGCUCGUGUUGUGAAAUGUUGGGUUAAGUCCCGCAACGAGCGCAACCCUUAUCCUUUGUUGCCAGCGGUUAGGCCGGGAACUCAAAGGAGACUGCCAGUGAUAAACUGGAGGAAGGUGGGGAUGACGUCAAGUCAUCAUGGCCCUUACGACCAGGGCUACACACGUGCUACAAUGGCGCAUACAAAGAGAAGCGACCUCGCGAGAGCAAGCGGACCUCAUAAAGUGCGUCGUAGUCCGGAUUGGAGUCUGCAACUCGACUCCAUGAAGUCGGAAUCGCUAGUAAUCGUGGAUCAGAAUGCCACGGUGAAUACGUUCCCGGGCCUUGUACACACCGCCCGUCACACCAUGGGAGUGGGUUGCAAAAGAAGUAGGUAGCUUAACCUUCGGGAGGGCGCUUACCACUUUGUGAUUCAUGACUGGGGUGAAGUCGUAACAAGGUAACCGUAGGGGAACCUGCGGUUGGAUCACCUCCUUACCUUAAAGAA
rnacentral:rRNA from 1 species